AGCUCUCCUUGACUUUUACGGUGCGUGGCGUGGGUGCGGUUGGUGAAGCCUGAAGAAAUGAGGCGGUGGAAGACGUUGAUGAAAACGUCGGCAGGGCAUCCAUAAAGCCACGACGUGCGAGUGCGAUUGACUUCUCCUUCUCCAAAGACGCAAGCUUUUGAUAAAAUUACAGUCUUUACAGACAGACAGAAAUAGAAACAUGGCUGGUGUGUCGGCUGGGAAGAAGCUCAUCCAAAUUGACAUCGUGUCGGAUACGGUGUGCCCGUGGUGCUUUGUGGGCAAGAGAAAUCUUGAAAAAGCUUUUGAGGCAUCUCGUGAUCGAUUCGACUUUGAGGUUAGAUGGCAUCCAUUCCAACUUAAUCCCAAUGCGCCUAAAGAAGGCGUUGAUAAGAGAAGUUAUUAUGAGGAAAAAUUUGGGACUAAUAGGUCGAAACAAAUGGAGGCUCGGAUGGCAGAGAUUUUCCGAAGCCACAGCCUGGAAUAUAACCUUACCGGGCUCACGGGAAGUACUCUAGAUAGCCACAGGCUUAUCUAUUUUGCUGGGCUUCAAGCGCAUGAUAAGCAACAUGCUCUUGUGGGUGAACUAUUCUUGGAUACUUCACACAGGCAAAAUACAUCGGGGACAGGGAAUUUCUUCUGGAAAGUGCUCAAAAGGUUGGAGUAGAAGGGGCAGCAGAGUUUCUUGAAGACCCCAACAAUGGCCUCAAUGAGGUCAAUGAAGAACUGGAGAAGUACGCAAGAAACAUCAAUGGAGUCCCACAUUUUUUGUUUAACAAUGGAAAGCUUGCGUUAAGUGGCGGCCAACCGCCUGAGGUGUUCUUGAGAGCUUUCGAAGCAGCCACAAAGUGAUGCAACCUUACAUAUACGAGCAUCCGCUCUCCAUCUCCAAUAAGAAUCCAACCUCGGAAAUAUAUUUACAUAUACGAGCCUUCGCUCUCCAUGUCCAAUAAGAAUCCAACCUUGGAAAUAUAUUUUCAAUACAUAUGAGUAAUUUGUAUCAUGUUUGAGCGUGAAUCAUGAACCUUUUUCUUCACAUGAUGUAAUAAUGCGACACCGGGUUUAUAUAUGUCUAUCCAUGUGAUACCAGGUUUUCUCU